AUGCGAAGGAUGUGGCCCGCUUCCAAGUGCGUCUGCGCGCCGGCCACCCACGUCGGGUCCUUCAAGUGCCGCUUCCACCGCACCAACUCCCAGGGCCAGGGAAGCCGCCCUUCUUCGCCCCCUUCACCGGCCGCGGCCAACGCGGUGCCGCGGCACCCGGCCUCGCCGUUCUCGUCCUCCGGCACCGUCACGACCCAGUGA
rnacentral:rRNA from 1 species